UGCAGUCGAGCGAAUGGAUUAAGAGCUUGCUCUUAUGAAGUUAGCGGCGGACGGGUGAGUAACACGUGGGUAACCUACCCAUAAGACUGGGAUAACUCCGGGAAACCGGGGCUAAUACCGGAUAAUAUUUUGAACUGCAUAGUUCGAAAUUGAAAGGCGGCUUCGGCUGUCACUUAUGGAUGGACCCGCGUCGCAUUAGCUAGUUGGUGAGGUAACGGCUCACCAAGGCGACGAUGCGUAGCCGACCUGAGAGGGUGAUCGGCCACACUGGGACUGAGACACGGCCCAGACUCCUACGGGAGGCAGCAGUAGGGAAUCUUCCGCAAUGGACGAAAGUCUGACGGAGCAACGCCGCGUGAGUGAUGAAGGCUUUCGGGUCGUAAAACUCUGUUGUUAGGGAAGAACAAGUGCUAGUUGAAUAAGCUGGCACCUUGACGGUACCUAACCAGAAAGCCACGGCUAACUACGUGCCAGCAGCCGCGGUAAUACGUAGGUGGCAAGCGUUAUCCGGAAUUAUUGGGCGUAAAGCGCGCGCAGGUGGUUUCUUAAGUCUGAUGUGAAAGCCCACGGCUCAACCGUGGAGGGUCAUUGGAAACUGGGAGACUUGAGUGCAGAAGAGGAAAGUGGAAUUCCAUGUGUAGCGGUGAAAUGCGUAGAGAUAUGGAGGAACACCAGUGGCGAAGGCGACUUUCUGGUCUGUAACUGACACUGAGGCGCGAAAGCG
rnacentral:rRNA from 2 species